UAAAAAAGCAAAAUAAACGAAAGUUUAUGACGCAAAGCCAUGAUCUAAAAGUUCUAAAAAACUCAUGAUAGCCAGGUUGC
rnacentral:ncRNA from 1 species